GACAUCUGCAGAUAUUUAUUUGAAUUUUGUUGAAUUGUUCUCAUCAAUAUCUUAGUGAGAAGAGAGCAGGCUGAAUGGAAGAAAGUCAUUAUGACCACUGGGGCCACUAGGGGGUGUCCAGAGAAGGUAACUACUUUGCCC